AUGCCUCUUGCAAAGGAUCUCCUUCAUCCCUCUUCAGGAGAGAAGAAGAGGAAACACAAGAGGAAACGCCUGGUGCAGAGCCCCAAUUCCUACUUCAUGGAUGUGAAAUACCCAGGAUGCUAUAAAAUCACCAUGGUCUUUAGCAUGCACAAACAGUAGUUUUGUGUUUUGGCUGCUCUACUGUCCACUGCUAGCCCACAAGAGGAAAAGCAAGGCUUACAGAAGGAUGUUCCUUUAGGAGAAAGCAGCAC
rnacentral:lncRNA from 1 species